AACGUGAUUCACGAGGAAGGCCACCAAGUGAGCUCUUUGCAUUCGUAAUAUUGAAUCAGCCAUGGUGAGCUUAAGAAGAAGCAAACGCAUGAGACUUUGCACCGAGAAAAGUUCUGUUCUAGCUCCACUGCCAUGGUUUUGUGACAAGGGAACUGCUCCUCAAAAUUCUACCCAAACAAAACCAGAUAGUGUGCAUUCAAUGCCUUCAAAUGAUGUGAAUCUGCCGGAGGGGAAUGCGACUCAUACAAGGGAUUCCUCUGAGAUUAUCAGUGUGUUGAGAGAGCCAGCUGCAG